CCUACGGGAGGCAGCAGUGAGGAAUAUUGGUCAAUGGACGAGAGUCUGAACCAGCCAAGUAGCGUGAAGGAUGACUGCCCUAUGGGUUGUAAACUUCUUUUAUAUGGGAAUAAAAUGUUCCACGUGUGGGCUUUUGUAUGUACCAUAUGAAUAAGGAUCGGCUAACUCCGUGCCAGCAGCCGCGGUAAUACGGAGGAGCCGAGCGUUAUCCGGAUUUAUUGGGUUUAAAGGGAGCGUAGGCGGGUUGGUAAGUCCGUUGUGAAAGUUUGCGGCUCAACCGUAAAAUUGCAGUUGAUACUGGCAUCCGUGAGUACAGUAGAGGUAGGCGGAAGUCGUGGUGUAGCGGUGAAAUGCUUAGAUAUCACGAAGAACUCCGAUUGUGAAGGCAAUCUGGCUGGAAACUGACGCUGAGGUGCGAAAGCGUGGGUAGCAAACAGGAUUAGAUACCCCUGUAGUC
rnacentral:rRNA from 1 species